UGCACUUCUCGGUUUGCUACCAGCACUUUCCUUGGAGCUCACGAUGGAGGACACGUCACCUCUCUAAGGACAGUAUCUCACAUCCCAGUCUGAAAGGUGAGAUGCAAUCUUCAUCUCUCAGCAGCCUCGGCCGAGCACUUCAAGCUUACCGCACUGAGCCGUUGUCUGAAAGGCCGUAGCGGCACCCACAGAUGGGUUUUCUGCAGUGUGUGACUUGGGGUUUGGCUGAAUGUGGAGAUAUCAGCUCAGAUGUUCUCUUCUACAUCGAUGCCCAGUUCACUAGAGAUGAGGUUAGGCUCCUCCGCACACACUGCCUUGGCCAUUUCGGUUUCAGUCAGUCUGUUUAGCUUCCAACUCGAAAGACCAUGUAAAAGAGGGGCUUCAUAGACCUCUGAUAAAUGUGCUAAUUCACAGGGUUUGGCCAACAGAAAGCCGAGUGCAGGAGUCACCGUCAGAUGACUGGAGAUGACAGACAGGAGAAUUUGAGGAUUUUGUAAUUUAUUCAAAGCAACAAACAAUUUACAACAACAAACAAGAAAGCACACUGUAAGUAAAUCAAGAGAGCGGAAUACAAAGUCUCUCGGGAACAGGAAACCCCUUUUGGCUGACAGCAUUAUUUAACUAAACUUUCUUGCAAUUAUUAUUAUUAGAUAGAUAGA